rnacentral:lncRNA from 1 species
GACCCACUUCCUUUCUUUUCCUUGACUUACUGAAUAGGAAGAAGAUGUUGUGACUGGCCCCUGCAUCUCUGAGUCAGUGAGUGACCUGCAACCCUUAGCACAAGAACUUUUGUUUGUGUCUCUGGAAGUUGGACAGCCUGGGACAGUCUACUGAAGGC